GACGAACGCUGGCGGCGUGCCUAAUGCAUGCAAGUUGAGCGCUGAAGGUUGGUACUUGUACCGACUGGAUGAGCAGCGAACGGGUGAGUAACGCGUGGGGAAUCUGCCUUUGAGCGGGGGACAACAUUUGGAAACGAAUGCUAAUACCGCAUAAAAACUUUAAACACAAGUUUUAAGUUUGAAAGAUGCAAUUGCAUCACUCAAAGAUGAUCCCGCGUUGUAUUAGCUAGUUGGUGAGGUAAAGGCUCACCAAGGCGAUGAUACAUAGCCGACCUGAGAGGGUGAUCGGCCACAUUGGGACUGAGGCACGGCCCAAACUCCUACGGGAGGCAGCAGUAGGGAAUCUUCGGCAAUGGACGAAAGUCUGACCGAGCAACGCCGCGUGAGUGAAGAAGGUUUUCGGAUCGUAAAACUCUGUUGGUAGAGAAGAACGUUGGUGAGAGUGGAAAGCUCAUCAAGUGACGGUAACUACCCAGAAAGGGACGGCUAACUACGUGCCAGCCGCCGCGGUAA
rnacentral:rRNA from 1 species